ensembl:snoRNA SNORD15 Small nucleolar RNA SNORD15
CUUCAGUGAUGAUACGAUGACGAGUCGGAACGGGAUGCUCUCUCUCCGAGAUCUCUGGGUCAGAGUCACGUUCUGUGAUUCUGAUUUCAGUCCUCGGAGCAGAACGUCCCUUUAACCUGAAGAUUUUGAGGCAUUUGUCUGAGAAGG